rnacentral:rRNA from 1 species
UACGAAGGGGGCUAGCGUUGUUCGGAAUUACUGGGCGUAAAGCGUGCGCAGGCGGCUUCUCAAGUCGAGGGUGAAAGCCCAGGAGCUCAACUCUGGAAUUGCCUUUGAGACUGAGUGGCUUGAGUACGGGAGAGGUGAGUGGAAUUCCCAGUGUAGAGGUGAAAUUCGUAGAUAUUGGGAAGAACACCGGUGGCGAAGGCGGCUCACUGGCCCUAACGUGACGCUCAUGCACGACAGCCGUGGGGGAUCAAACAGG